GAUGAACGCUGGCGGCGUGCCUAAUACAUGCAAGUCGAGCGAACAGACGAUUAGCUUGCUCCUCUUACGUUAGCGGCGGACGGGUGAGUAACACGUUGAUAACCUACCUAUAAGACUGGGAUAACUUCGGGAAACCGGAGCUAAUACCGGAUAAGAUAUUGAACCGCAUGGUUCAAUAGUGAAAGACGGUUUUGCUGUCACUUAUAGAUGGAUCCGCGCCUCAUUAGCUAGUUGGUAAGGUAACGGCUUACCAAGGCGACGAUGCGUAGCCGACCUGAGAGGGUGAUCGGCGACACUGGAACUGAGACACGGUCCAGACUCCUACGGGAGGCAGCAGUAGGGAAUCUUCAGCAAUGGGCGAAAGCCUGACGGAGAAACGCCGCGUGAGUGAUGAAGGUCUUCGGAUCGUAAAACUCUGUUAUUAGGGAAGAACAAAUGUGUAAGUAACUAUGAACGUCUUGACGGUACCUAAUCAGAAAGCCACGGCUAACUACGUG
rnacentral:rRNA from 1 species